rnacentral:lncRNA from 1 species
GAAAAGUGAAGUAUCACCAACUAUUUAUCAAAAUACACCUUAACUAUCAAUUGUUCAAUUUCCUACGUGAAAUAUUACCAUCAUCAGGUGGAAAAAGUGAAGAAUCACCAAAAUUAUUUACCGAAACACUGCUUGUCUAUCAAUUAUUCAUUUUUUCUACCUGAAAUAUCAACAUUGUUCAGGUAGGAAAACAAACAAUCAAUAGGUGAGAUAUGUUUUGAUAAAUAAUUGGUAAUAGUUUAGGUAGAAAAUUCGCACACAUGAUACUUCUGCUACAAAACUCAAAGUAUUGGAAUACCUUUGCGGUAUUUUUGAUCAUUAACACAUCUAAAGACUAAAAUAUCUCGAUUUUUCAAAUUUCAUACUUGAUAGUAUCACGUGUAUGAGUUUUCUACAUGAACUAUCACCAACUAUUCAUCAAAACACAUCUCAACUAUCAAUUGUUCACUUUCCCUACUUGUAAUAUCACCCAUCGUUCAACUAAGAAAAGUAAAACAGUUAAUACGAAACUCAAAAAAGCGGGACACUUUAGCAGUAUUUUUGAUCAUUUAACUCAUUUGUAAGCAAAAUAGAGAAGUGGGGUGUAUUGGAUAUUUACAGAUAGCGGAGCAAAACAAUGAGGGCAUUUAUCAUCUAAAGCAACCCACAGAGACCCAGAUUUAUCAAACCAAAGAACGAUAUCCCUAUCAAGUAGCUGAAAGGGUGUAUGCAAAGUAGCGUCAAGAUCUUCAACAGGUGAAACUGGAUACCAGUUAUCCCUCCAAAGAAAACUUCGAAUACGAAGACGAAUCUUGUUUAUCAUCUACCGUAUCACGUGUACGAGUUUACUAUCUAAACUAUCAACAAUUAUUUAUCAAAAUACACCUCAAUUAUUCACUCCUUUUAUAGCUGACAUACUACCAUCGUUUAGGUAGGAAACAUGAACGGUUGAUAGUUCAGACAAGACACUCACACACCUCGAACUAUCACCAAUAUUUAUCAAAAUAAGCCUCAAUUAUUCACUCUUUUUCUAGCUGAAAUAUUAACAUCGCUUAGGCAGGAAAAGUGAAUAGUAGAUAGUUCAGAAAACACACUCACACCUAUCACGUAUACGAGUUUAUUACCUGAACCAUCACCAAUUAUUUAUCCAAAGCACGCCCCAACUAACACUUAUUCGCUUUUUUCUAGCUGAAAUAUGACCAUCGUUCAGGUAGGAACAACACACUCACACACCUAUCAUGUGUACGAGUUUUUUACCCAACAACAACAACAACAAAAAACCCAGUGCAUUCCCACCUGGUGGGGUCUGGGGGGUAAGAUGUACGCAGUCCAUACCACUACUUCAAGAGAAGUAGAAAGGUUGUUUCCGAUAGGCCCCCGGCUCAAGACAAGUCCACACCUAGUUUGAGUUUUCUACCCAAACUAUCACAAAUUAUUUAUCAAAAUAUACCUCAACUAUCAACUAUUCACUCCUUUUCUAGCUAAAAUAUUACCAUCGUUUAGGUAGGAAACGUGAACAAUUCAUAGUUUGGACAGGACACUCACACACAUAUCACGUGUACGCAUUUUCUACCUUAACUAUCAAAAUACACCUCAACUAUCACUUAUUCACAUUUUUUCUAGCUGAAAUAUAGCCACCGUUCAGGUAGGAACAACACACUCACACACAUACCACGCGUACGAGUAUUCUACCUGAACUAUUACCAAUUAUUUAUCAAAAUACACCUCAAAUCACUUAUUCACUUUUUUCUAGCCGAAACAUUACCAUCGUUCAGGUAGGAACAGCACACUCACACACCUAUCACCAGUACGAGUUUUCUACCUGAACUAUCACCAAUUAUUUAUCAAAAUACACCUCAACUAUCAAUUAUUCACUUUUUCUAGCUAAAAUAUUAAUCCUACCAUCGUUUAGUUAGGAAACGUGAACAGUUGAUAGUUCAGACAGGACACUCACAUACCUAUCACGUGUACGAGCUUAUUACACGAACUAUCACUGAUUAUUUAUUAAAAUACACCUCAACUAUCAACUAUUCACUUUUUUAGCUGUUCAGGCAGGAACAGCACACUCACACACCUAUCACCAGUACGAGUUUUCCACCUGAACUAUCACAAAUUAUUCAUCAAAAUACACCUCAACUAUCAAUUAUUCAUUCUUUUUCUAGCUAAAAUAUUACUCCUACCAUCGUUUAGGUAGGAAACGUGAACAGUUGAUAGUUCAGACAAGACACUCACAUACCUAUCACGUGUACGAGUUUAUUAACUGAAGCUAUCACUGAUUAUUUAUCAAAAUACACUUCAACUAUCAACUAUUCACUUUUUUAGCUGAAAUAUUACCAUCGUUCAGUAGAAAACUCGCACACCAGCUUAUUACCUAAACUAUCACUGAUUAGUUAUCAAAAUACUCCUCAACUAUCAACUAUUCACUUUUUUAGCUGAAAUAUUACCAUCGUUCAGGUAGAAAACUCACACACCUAAUAGUUUUAGUUUAGUUCAGCUAUGAAACUCAAGAAACCGAGAUACUUGGAAGAUAAAAUCAUUUCAAAGCAAAAUAGAGAAGUGGGUGUAUUAGAUAUUUACAGAUAAUGGAGCAAGACGAUGAGGGCAUUUAUCAUCAAGCACAACCCACUGAAACCCAGAUUUAUCAAACCAAAUAACCAUAUCCCUAUUAAGUAACUGAAAUGGUGUAGGCAAACUUGGAUCAAUAUCUUCACCAAGCGAAACUGUAUACCAAUUAUCCCUCCAUGAAAACUCCGAAUACGAAGACGAAUCUUGUUCAUCAUCUACUGUAUCACGUGUACGAGUUUAUUACCUAAACUACCAACAAUUAUUUAUCAAAAUACACCUCAAUUAUUCACUCUUUUUCUAGCUAAAAUAUUACCAUCGUUUAGGUAGGAAACGUGUACAGUUGAUAGUUCAUACAGUUCAGACACGACACUCACACACCUAUCAGAGGUACGAAUUUACUGUCUCAUCGAUCAACAAUUAUUUAUCAAAAUACACCUCAAUUAUUAACAUCGUUUAGGUAGGAAACGUGAACAGUUGAUAGUUGAGACAGUUCAGACAGGACACUCACACACCUAUCACGUGUACGAGUUCAUUACCUGAACUAUCACCAAUUAUUUAUCAAAAUACACCUCAAUUAACAAUUAUUUAUCAAAAUACACCUCAAUUAUUAACAUCGUUUAGGUAGGAAACAUGAACAGUUGAUAGUUGAGACAGUUCAGACAGGACACUCACACACCUAUCACGUGUACGAGUUCAUUACCUGAACUAUCACCAAUUAUUUAUCAAAAUACAACUCAAUUAUUCACUCUUUUUCAAGCUGAAAUAUUACCAUCGUUCAGGUAGGAACAACACACUCACACACCUAUCACGUGUACGAGUUUUCUACCUGAAGUAUCACCAAUAAUUUAUUAAAAAUACACCUCAACCAUCAAUUAUUCACUUCUUCAGCUGAAAUAUUACCAUCGUUCAGGUAGGAAACUCGCACACCUGAAACUCAAGAAAACCAAGAUACUUGGAAGAUAAAAAUCAUUUCAAAGCAAAAUAGAGAAGUGGGGUGUAUUAGAUAUUUACAGAUAGUGGAGCAAGACGAUGAGGGCAUUUAUCAUCAAGAACAAC